rnacentral:rRNA from 1 species
UACGUAGGCAGCGAGCGUUGUUCGGAGUUACUGGGCGUAAAGGGUGCGUAGGCGGUUUUCCAAGUUUGGUGUGAAAUCUCCCCGGCUCAACUGGGAGGGUGCGCCGAAAACUGGAGGACUGGAGUACCGGAGAGGUAAGCGGAAUUCCUGGUGUAGCGGUGAAAUGCGUAGAGAUCAGGAGGAACACCUGUGGUGUAGACAGCUUACUGGACGGUGACUGACGCUGAGGCACGAAAGCGUGGGUAGCAAACAGG